rnacentral:lncRNA from 1 species
AUGGGGCUUGCAUUACUGCUGCUUUAAGCAGCUCUUUCUCUCAGAUCGCUGCCAAACGUGUUCACAGCUGAGAGCACAGAGGAGGUGAUACCCACUCCUUGCUGCCAGGCAGUGAGAGGUGCGAAUUGUUGAACUGCUGAACUUUACAGAGGGUGGUCUAGACACUGACAGAGAUCUCCACACCACACUCUCUUAAAAAUGUGCAGAGGUGGUGUAUUAUGAGAAAAAAAAAGCCAAAGGGAAGAGCCGACAGCCCAGGAUUUGGAGGAGGAGAUUACAGCCAAGUCAAGAGUAGAUAAUAGGUGUCUGCUUAUUGUGAUGUAUUUCCAUUGCGCUGCUCAGAACUCCUGGGGUUUCAGCUCUGUCAUUCGCUGAGCACUUUGCCAUCUGCACAGCAAAUGGUGUGAAAAGGUGUUUAAUUCAAAGUGGCAAUCAUACAGAACACACUCAGCCCAGAUAAAAAGAUGUACUGAACUGUGAACUAUGAAAACUUCCAGACCACAACCUCAGUCCAGCCACCUAGGUACACAAAUCUGAAUAAGUGUGACUCCAGCUGCCCUGAGCUUUGCUGCUUUGAUGUCUUCACUGUGGAAUCCAACUCUGGGCUUGACUUACUUCAACGAGGAGUCCCAAAGGGAACAUUCAUACAGGAUUGAUCUUGUCAUUUCAGUCUUCUUGCUCUUUAUUGAAGGAAAGAAUAAAAAGCCCCUUGCCUCCACACUCUUGAAAGAGAACAUCUUUCUGAAAAGGUGUUCAAAUAAGCUUCAGUCAACAACUAUGAUUUUGAACCCAUCCGGAACAACUGCCCUUAGCAAGAAGAAAGUCUUCCAAAGCAAAGUCGUCCUGUUUCAAGUGGAACUUUCCUAUGCCAGGCAAUGAGUUCUAGCUACACAGAAUGAAACCUAAGUCACUUUGAAACUGAAGUGCAUGCUGCCAUUGGUUUGAUGACCCAGGGUUAUAUUCCGGAAGAAGACUACAUAGGUAUGUAAGAAGAUAGUCUUUCUCUUGCAUCAGCUGAUGUUCUGCUGCCCACAAGAUCACUAUUGAGCUUAGUUUUGUAAAAGCAGAGAAAUAUUGUUAUUGUGAACAAAACUGAAUGCUUGCCUGGCCCAUCUUCUUUAAAGAUACAGACUUCAAAUGCUUCAGAUAAUACAAUGCGU